CAACAACACAAAACCGAACUUCACUAAUACUUCUAAACGCACAAACUGUGCUGGGGGAGAUUACUGGAGAUCUGAGCUACAAAGUGGGCUAUAGUAUCAGCUGUUACUGCUCCCACUGGGCAGCUAUUCCAGGUAUCUACUACCCUUUCUAUAUCACUGUUACUGCUCCCACUGGAAGGUUAUUCCAGGUAUCUACUACCCUUUCU